UACGUAGGGUGCAAGCGUUAAUCGGAAUUACUGGGCGUAAAGCGUGCGCAGGCGGUGAUGUAAGACAGAUGUGAAAUCCCCGGGCUUAACCUGGGAACUGCAUUUGUGACUGCAUAGCUAGAGUACGGUAGAGGGGGAUGGAAUUCCGCGUGUAGCAGUGAAAUGCGUAGAUAUGCGGAGGAACACCGAUGGCGAAGGCAAUCCCCUGGACCUGUACUGACGCUCAUGCACGAAAGCGUGGGGAGCAAACAGG
rnacentral:rRNA from 1 species